GUGUAUUCAACGAUCUUUGAAAUUUUUAAAGAGUGAAUUUUUAUACUUAACACAUUUGUUUUUAUUUUCAUAACAAGUUUCCUAUCAUAACCAAUAAUUAAUCAAACCUAGGACAAUGUAUUCAAUAGUCACCUUAAUGGAUGAAAGAGAAGUUAAUUGUUCAAUAUAUUGCAUCGCCCAACGGAAUUGAGACAUGGCAACAUUUAGGAUUGUACUCUUUAAACAAGGUGGCCUACUUUUCAACCACUCCAUUGAUAUUAUCCACAUGCUCAUGCCAAUUAUCCCACCUACCCAAUGCAACUCCUUCAUUUUGUAUACAUUAGUACCAUGUAAUUAAGCGCACCUCAUUUUCUCAGCCUUC
rnacentral:lncRNA from 1 species